rnacentral:rRNA from 1 species
GACGAACGCUGGCGGCGUGCUUAACACAUGCAAGUCGAACGGAAAGGCCCUGCUUUUGUGGGGUGCUCGAGUGGCGAACGGGUGAGUAACACGUGAGUAACCUGCCCUUGACUUUGGGAUAACUUCAGGAAACUGGGGCUAAUACCGGAUAGGAGCUCCUGCUGCAUGGUGGGGGUUGGAAAGUUUCGGCGGUUGGGGAUGGACUCGCGGCUUAUCAGGUUGUUGGUGGGGUAGUGGUUUACCAAGGCUUUGAGGGGUAGCGGGCCGGGAGGGUGACCGGCCUCAUUGGGACUGAGAUGCGGCCCAGACUCCUACGGGAGGCAGCAGUGGGGAAGAUUGCACGAUGGGCGGAAGCCUGAUGCAGCAACGCCGCGUGCGGGAUGACGGCCUUCGGGUUGUAAACCGCUUUCGCCUGUGACGAAGCGUGAGUGACGGUAAUGGGUAAAGAAGCACCGGCUAACUACGUG